AGCAGAAGUGGGUCAACAACAGCCUUGAGAGAGACUUCUGACUCAUGUGAACAUAUGUGUGUGACGUCAGCAGGGUUACAGCGUUGACAAGGUUAUUUUCAUUCAAUGUUAUUCGCUUGUGCUCAUCAGUUCUUGGCAGUGAACACAGAAGUGCAGACGCCGUGUCCUUUCACUUACCAGCUGCGCUUUGUCAAACCUGCCAUCCGCUCGGCUGCUCGCACUGGACACGAUUAAAGACAUUCAAGAUAUAUAUUCGCUAAAAACAACACACACUGAAUGCAUCUAGUUUUAAGCACUAUAUUACUGAAAACAGUGCAUAUACAAACACAUAAGUUUCAUAUUUUAAGCACAAAAACAUUCUUUCCAAUGAUGCAGAACAUUAACAUAAAUUCUGUGCUGUUUUCCUCUGUAGGGUUGAAGUUAAAGUCCCGGAGCAUCUCAUCAUACAGAAGAACAACAGAAGAUGUGGCCGUCGAGUGCAGAAGAACAUGUGUCUGUCCCCGACUGAUCCAUACUCGGGCAUUCUCACUACCGGCGUUACCGUAGAUACAGAUGAGCACUGGUGCUCUCAGAUCAACAGACUGCAACAGCUCAUCGACAAACUGGAGUGUCAGGUGAAUACACUCAAAUAUCCACUCACACAGAAUAUUCUUUCUGUCUUGAGCAUGUGUUUUAAUAUAUCAUGUUCCAAGCCAAUUUUCAUUUGCUUUUCAUUUUUAGAGUCCAAAGUUGGAGCCGCUGAAAGAAGAUACACUGGCCAGCACGUACAAGUCGAACAUUCUGCUGGUGCAGAGACAGAUGAGCGUGACAGAGAAUGA
rnacentral:lncRNA from 1 species